rnacentral:rRNA from 1 species
GAAUGCUGACAUAAGUAACGAUAAAGCGGGUGAAAAGCCCGCUCGCCGGAAGACCAAGGGUUCCUGUCCAACGUUAAUCGGGGCAGGGUGAGUCGACCCCUAAGGCGAGGCCGAAAGGCGUAGUCGAUGGGAAACGGGUUAAUAUUCCCGUACUUGGUGUUACUGCGAAGGGGGGACGGAGAAGGCUAUGUUGGCCGGGCGACGGUUGUCCCGGUUUAAGCGUGUAGGUGUGUGUUCCAGGUAAAUCCGGUUCACUUUAACACUGAGGCGUGACGACGAGGCACUACGGUGCUGAAGCAACAAAUGCCCUGCUUCCAGGAAAAGCCUCUAAGCAUCAGGUAACAUCAAAUCGUACCCCAAACCGACACAGGUGGUCAGGUAGAGAAUACCAAGGCGCUUGAGAGAACUCGGGUGAAGGAACUAGGCAAAAUGGUGCCGUAACUUCGGGAGAAGGCACGCUGACACGUAGGUGAAGUGAUUUACUCAUGGAGCUGAAGUCAGUCGAAGAUACCAGCUGGCUGCAACUGUUUAUUAAAAACACAGCACUGUGCAAACACGAAAGUGGACGUAUACGGUGUGACGCCUGCCCGGUGCCGGAAGGUUAAUUGAUGGGGUCAGCGCAAGCGAAGCUCCUGAUCGAAGCCCCGGUAAACGGCGGCCGUAACUAUAACGGUCCUAAGGUAGCGAAAUUCCUUGUCGGGUAAGUUCCGACCUGCACGAAUGGCGUAAUGAUGGCCAGGCUGUCUCCACCCGAGACUCAGUGAAAUUGAACUCGCUGUGAAGAUGCAGUGUACCCGCGGCAAGACGGAAAGACCCCGUGAACCUUUACUAUAGCUUGACACUGAACAUUGAGCCUUGAUGUGUAGGAUAGGUGGGAGGCUUUGAAGUGUGGACGCCAGUCUGCAUGGAGCCGACCUUGAAAUACCACCCUUUAAUGUUUGAUGUUCUAACGUGGACCCGUUACCCGGGUUGCGGACAGUGUCUGGUGGGUAGUUUGACUGGGGCGGUCUCCUCCUAAAGAGUAACGGAGGAGCACGAAGGUUGGCUAAUCCUGGUCGGACAUCAGGAGGUUAGUGCAAUGGCAUAAGCCAGCUUGACUGCGAGCGUGACGGCGCGAGCAGGUGCGAAAGCAGGUCAUAGUGAUCCGGUGGUUCUGAAUGGAAGGGCCAUCGCUCAACGGAUAAAAGGUACUCCGGGGAUAACAGGCUGAUACCGCCCAAGAGUUCAUAUCGACGGCGGUGUUUGGCACCUCGAUGUCGGCUCAUCACAUCCUGGGGCUGAAGUAGGUCCCAAGGGUAUGGCUGUUCGCCAUUUAAAGUGGUACGCGAGCUGGGUUUAGAACGUCGUGAGACAGUUCGGUCCCUAUCUGCCGUGGGCGCUGGAGAACUGAGGGGGGCUGCUCCUAGUACGAGAGGACCGGAGUGGACGCAUCACUGGUGUUCGGGUUGUCAUGCCAAUGGCACUGCCCGGUAGCUAAAUGCGGAAGAGAUAAGUGCUGAAAGCAUCUAAGCACGAAACUUGCCCCGAGAUGAGUUCUCCCUGAGACUUAGAGUCUCCUGAAGGAACGUUG